ensembl:lncRNA
ACCUUGCAGUCCAAGGGACUCUCAAGAGUCUUCUCCAGCACCACAACCUGAAGGCAUCAAAAGAGUAAUUCCAGACUGGACAAAUCCAUGGAGACAGAAUGUAGAUACAGGCUUCCAGGGACUGUGGGAAUGAGAGUGACUGCUAACAGAAACAUAGAUACCAUCCAAAAAUUUUCCGAUAUCCUUGUGGCUUGCUGAAUCUGACACAAGUUCCAUGUGGUUUCCUUCAAGACUCGACUCAUCUUCCUGGGCUUGAGGCGGAAGGACUUUCUGGGUAGUCACUGAAUACCUGUUAAACGGUGAACCGGUGAAUGCAUUUUAUGUCAUCAUCUGGAUCUUCUAUUCACCACUGUGGACAAUUAGUAGUGAAAUCCUGAAGAAGCCCAGGGGGGUCCUGAUCCUGAGGAAGGGUCACAGCAAGGCAUCCCCUGUAGGCAGACACAGCCUUGGUGCUCCUCCCCAG